rnacentral:rRNA from 1 species
AACGAACGCUGGCGGCAUGCCUAACACAUGCAAGUCGAACGAUUGCCUUCGGGUGAUAGUGGCGCACGGGUGCGUGACGCGUGGGAAUCUGCCCUUAGGUUCGGAAUAACAGCUGGAAACGGCUGCUAAUACCGGAUGAUAUCGCGAGAUCAAAGAUUUAUCGCCUGAGGAUGAGCCCGCGUUGGAUUAGGUAGUUGGUGGGGUAAAGGCCUACCAAGCCGACGAUCCAUAGCUGGUCUGAGAGGAUGAUCAGCCACACUGGGACUGAGACACGGCCCAGACUCCUACGGGAGGCAGCAGUGGGGAAUAUUGGACAAUGGGCGCAAGCCUGAUCCAGCAAUGCCGCGUGAGUGAUGAAGGCCCUAGGGUUGUAAAGCUCUUUUACCCGGGAAGAUAAUGACUGUACCGGGAGAAUAAGCCCCGGCUAACUCCGUG